rnacentral:rRNA from 1 species
AGCAAACGCUGGCGGCGUGCCUAAUACAUGCAAGUCGAACGAGGAAAGUAGCAAUACGAGUACUAGUGGCGCACGGGUGAGGAACGCGUGGGUAAUUUACCUUCGAGCGGGGGAUAACUAGUCGAAAGACUAGCUAAUACCGCAUAAGACCACAGGAUCUGCGGAUCUAGGGGUCAAAGCAGCAAUGCACUUGAAGAUAA